GGUCCAAUUCUCACCGGACUUUUCUCCCCUUUGACCUACCUAGUGCCUCGUUCAUCUGAAAACAAGAAUUUCAAAGAAAUGGAAAAAAGAUACAACCAUGUUCGUUAAAAGGGUUCUACAAUUUGUAAUGGCAUAGAGAUUGAGAGGGAAGCGUCUGGAGAAGUAAGAUCACAUGGGCUUUUUUGGAACAUUAUUCCCGUCUUUCCAGGAUGAGAAUUACGUGUUCUUUGUCCCUGAGAGGUAAACUCUAAACAAUAACAACAACGAUGGCUCAAACCCAACCUAGUUUGGAAAUAAAAUGCAAUAGAGAUAAGGUAGAAAUAGAGGAAUUAGAUUUGAACAUGUUGAAAUCACAGAUUUAUGAGCCUAAGAAAAAAUAAUAGAAAAGAAGAGAAUCCUAAAGACCACAGGUUUCAACCAUGGGUCUGAAAGUAAAAUAAACUAUGUCACCAAUAAUGUAAGAAUUUCAGAAUUCAAAUAUGGAAUGUAGUGUGCAUGAAUUCAUCAAAAGAAAGUUACUGAGGAAGAUUCAUAAUCGUUAAACACGCUUAGCAUGCGAAUUUAUAGCUUAUUCAGUGCAAAUUUGAAACUGAAGAUGUAGGAACAGAGUAUUUAUUGGUAGCUUUCUUUCAUCCUUAAGGAUCUAGGUUCAAUGUUCACCACUCUUCUCCCCUUUGACCUACCUAGUGCCUCGCUCAUCUGUAAACAAGAAUUUCAAAGAAAUGGAAAAAAUAUACAGCCAUGUUCGUUAAAAGGGUUCUACAAUUUGUAAUGGCAUAGAGAUUGAGAGGGAAGCGUCUGGAGAAGUAAGAUCACCUGGGCUUGUUUGGAACACUAUUCCCGUCUUUCCAGGAUGAGAAUUACGUGUUCCUUGUCCCUGAGAGGUAAACUCUAAACAAUAACAACAAUAAUGGUUCAAACCCAACCUAGUUUGGAAAUAAAAUGCAACCCCCCCCAAACCCACACACACACACACACACACGCACGCAAAAAAUAAAAAGAAGAAAAAAAGAGUUUGGCAUCGACAUAUCUAGCUUUUCAAAAGAAAAAAAAUGGUCUAUUAGAAUAGAUUUGAUCUGUGUCCAGUUGGUUUUUAUUAGUUUGCUGGCUAAGAUUGUCUACAUUGUGAUGUGGCUAGAGUAUCAAGGUGAAAUUUGAUAUUGUCGAUUUUUCUUCAGAUGAGUCUAACUUCGGGACUCUGGGCAGUAGACUACCUGAGAUGAAGCACUAGAAGAAAGAGAUUCAGAAACU
rnacentral:lncRNA from 1 species